rnacentral:lncRNA from 1 species
UAGAGAAUGUGACUCCUGCCCGAGCAAUAACUGUUCUCAUGGACAGGGGGGUCAAGAGCCGCUACGUCCAGGUGCGGAAGUGCGCGGCCCAACUCCUCCUGUCCUUGAUGGAGAAAAUGGGAGUCACCAAGCUCGCAGGCACCCCCAGGGCUGAGAGGCUGCCACACGUGGCAGGGACACUGGCUCAGGACUGUCACAAGGACACAAGGCAUUAUGGACAGGAGAUGGUGAAGAUGUUGCUAAAUAAUCAAAAAUUUAAAAAGCUUUUGGAGCAAUCUCUUUCCCCACAUGACCUGGAAGAUAUACUGACAAGAAUUAAAAAGAAGGUAAGUGCUUGGCAGGAGAAAUGUCUCCUUUGUGCAAGUAUUGUGACUACCAAUAUGAGAUCAAACAUACCCAAGUGUCUUUAUCUCAUUUCUCUUCUGCUGAUUCGUUUUGCCUCUGGGAAUGAGCUAUUAAUCCUCAGCCUGUUCAUCUGCAGCAGACCACAGAGGAACUGCUAUUAUUAGGGGAAAAGUGGGGUUUUGAAUACUUUGAAUAUCAGUCACAAAGAGGAAAGGGAA